rnacentral:rRNA from 1 species
UACGUAGGUGGCAAGCGUUGUCCGGAUUUACUGGGCGUAAAGAGCGCGCAGGCGGUCGUUCAAGUCGCGUGUGAAAGCCCCCGGCUCAACUGGGGAGGGUCACGCGAUACUGAUCGACUCGAAGGCAGGAGAGGGUAGUGGAAUUCCCGGUGUAGUGGUGAAAUGCGUAGAUAUCGGAAGGAACAUCAGUGGCGAAAGCGGCUUCCUGGACCAGUACCGACGUUCAGGCACGAAAGCGUGGGGAGCAAACAGG